rnacentral:tRNA from 1 species
GUGCCUUUAGCUCAAUCGGCAGAGCGCCUGUCUGUGGAACAGGAGGUUGCGGGAUCGUGCCCCGCAAGGCACCCCU